rnacentral:rRNA from 1 species
AUUGAACGCUGGCGGCAGGCCUAACACAUGCAAGUCGAGCGAGCGGCGGACGGGUGAGUAAUGUCUGGGAAACUGCCUGAUGGAGGGGGAUAACUACUGGAAACGGUAGCUAAUACCGCAUACCAUCAGAUGUGCCCAGAUGGGAUUAGCUAGUAGGUGGGGUAAAGGCUAACCUAGGCGACGAUCCAUCGCUGGUCUGAGAGGAUGACCAGCCACCCUGGACUGGAGACACGUCCCAGACUCCUACGGGGGGAAGCAGUGGGGAAUAUUGCACAUUGGGCGCAAGCCUGAUGCAGCCAUGCCGCGGGUGUGAAUAAGGCCUUCGGGUUGUAAAGCACUUUCAGCGGGGAGGCGUUACCCGCAGAAGAAGCACCGGCUAACUCCGUGCCAGCCGCCGCGGUAAUUC